GUAGUGGGUGAGGGACCCAGGUUCCUGACACAGACAGACUACACCCAGGGAAUGAAGAGCAAGCGCCAUGUUGAAGCCAUCAUUACCAUUCAGAUCCCUCUUAUUCCUGCAGCUGCCCCUGCUGGGAGUGGGGCUGAACACGACAAUUCUGACGCCCAAUGGGAAUGAAGACACCACAGCUGAUUUCUUCCUGACCUCUAUGCCCGCUGACUCCCUCAGUGUUUCCACUCUGCCCCUCCCAGAGGUUCAGUGUUUUGUGUUCAAUGUCGAGUACAUGAAUUGCACUUGGAACAGCAGCUCUGAGCCCCAGCCUACCAACCUCACUCUGCAUUAUUGGUACAAGAACUCAGAUAAUGAUAAAGUCCAGAAGUGCAGCCACUAUCUAUUCUCUGAAGAAAUCACUUCUGGCUGUCAGUUGCAAAAAAAGGAGAUCCACCUCUACCAAACAUUUGUUGUUCAGCUCCAGGACCCACGGGAACCCAGGAGACAGGCCACACAGAUGCUAAAACUGCAGAAUCUGGGAACAAUCAGUGGAUUAUAGACAUAAGUUCUCCCUGCCUAGUGUGGAUGGGCAGAAACGCUACACGUUUCGUGUUCGGAGCCGCUUUAACCCACUCUGUGGAAGUGCUCAGCAUUGGAGUGAAUGGAGCCACCCAAUCCACUGGGGGAGCAAUACUUCAAAAGAGAAUCCUUUCCUGUUUGCGUUGGAAGCCGUGGUUAUCUCCGUUGGCUCCAUGGGAUUGAUUAUCAGCCUUCUCUGUGUGUAUUUCUGGCUGGAACGGUGAGAUUUGGAGAAGCCCAGAAGAAUGAGGGGAACGGUAGCUGAGAAUAGCAGAGGAGGGUUUUGCAGGGUCUUUAGGAGUAAAGGAUGAGACAGUAAAGAAUGAGAGAUUACCCAAGAGGGUUUGGUGAUGGAAGGAAGCCACAGGCACAGAGAACACAGAAUCACUUUAUUUCAUAUGGGACAACUGGGAGAAGGGUGAUAAAAAAGCUUUAACCUAUGUGCUCCUGCUCCCUCUUUCUUCCCUGUCAGGACGAUGCCCCGAAUUCCCACCCUGAAGAACCUAGAGGAUCUUGUUACUGAAUACCACGGGAACUUUUCGGUGAGAACGCUGUCAUAAGCAUGCUGCAGUCUAUCAACUGCCAACUGCCUGCCAGCAACACAGACAGAGUGUGGGGGUGGGGGCAGAGAGGAGAGGGAAGGAGGCCCUGCACUAACUGUCAGGAUGUGGCCGACCAAAUGGGGGAUGGACUAUACAGAGAGAGACACACACAGAAGUGCAGAUUAUAGAUUGAAUGAGGCAGAUGGCAACUGGUAUUGGGGGCCCAGGAGCCUGUGUAUCCCUUCUGUAAUCAAUUACAGUGGUUGCAGACAUCAUGAGUACUCCUUUGGCACAGAGCUCGGUCUUUUACUUCCUGCCCCUAAUUGACCCCUGACCUGGACAUAUCUGUCUUUAGGCCUGGAGUGGUGUGUCUAAGGGACUGGCUGAGAGUCUGCAGCCAGACUACAGUGAACGACUCUGCCUCGUCAGUGAGAUUCCCCCAAAAGGAGGGGUCCUCGGGGAGGGGCCUGGGGCCUCCCCAUGCAACCAGCAUAGCCCCUACUGGGCCCCCCCAUGUUACACCCUGAAGCCUGAAACCUGAACCCCAAUCCUCUGACAGAAGAACCCCAGGGUCCUGUAGCCCUAAGUGGCACUAACUUUCCUUCGUUCAACCCAUCUGCGUCUCAUACUCACCUCACUCCACUGUGGCUGAUUUGGAAUUUUGUGCCCCCAUGUAAGCGCCUUCAUUUGGCAUUCCCCACUUGAGAAUUACGCUUUUGCCCUGUACAUGUUUUUCUUCUCCCUCAGUCUGGCCCUUCCUUUUCGCAGGAUUCUUCCUCCCUCCCUCUUUCCCUCCCUUCCUCUUUCCGUCUACCCUCCAAUUAUUCCUGAACCGAUGAGAAAUAAAGUUUCUGUUGAUAAUCAUC
rnacentral:sRNA from 1 species